rnacentral:rRNA from 1 species
GCACAAGCGGUGGAGCAUGUGGUUUAAUUCGACGCAACGCGAAGAACCUUACCUGGGCUCGAAAUGUUAUGGACCGGAGUGGAAACAUUCCUUCCCCGCAAGGGGUCGUAAUAUAGGUGCUGCAUGGCUGUCGUCAGCUCGUGCCGUGAGGUGUUGGGUUAAGUCCCGCAACGAGCGCAACCCCCAUCACUAGUUGCCAUCAGGUAAUGCUGGGAACUCUAGUGAAACUGCCGUCGUAAGACGCGAGGAAGGAGGGGAUGAUGUCAAGUCAUCAUGGCCUUUAUGCCCAGGGCUACACACGUGCUACAAUGGAGAGGACAAAGGGCUGCAACACAGCGAUGUGAAGCUAAUCCCAAAAACCUCUUCUCAGUUCAGAUCGCAGUCUGCAACUCGACUGCGUGAAGCUGGAAUCGCUAGUAAUCGUAUAUCAGCAAUGAUACGGUGAAUACGUUCCCGGGC